ensembl:snRNA U6 U6 spliceosomal RNA
GUGCUCACUGCAGCACAGUAUAUACUAAAAUUAUAACAAUAGAGAGAUUAGCAUGUUCCUUGCACAAGGAUAACACACAAAUUCAUGAAGAGUUCCAUAUUUGU